rnacentral:ncRNA from 1 species
UAACUGAAGAGUUUGAUCAUGGCUCAGAUUGAACGCUGGCGGCAGGCUUAACACAUGCAAGUCGAGCGGCAGCACGGGGAGCUUGCUCCCUGGUGGCGAGCGGCGGACGGGUGAGUAAUGCAUAGGAAUCUGCCCGGUAGUGGGGGAU